rnacentral:rRNA from 1 species
GUGCCAGCAGCCGCGGUAAUACGUAGGGUGCAAGCGUUAAUCGGAAUUACUGGGCGUAAAGCGUGCGCAGACGGUAAUGUAAGACAGAUGUGAAAUCCCCAAACUCAACCUGGGAACUGCAUUUGUGACUGCAUUGCUGGAGUGCGGCAGGGGGGGAUGGAAUUCCGCGUGUAGCAAUGAAAUGCGUAGAUAUGCGGAGGAACACCGAUAGCGAAGGCAAUCCCCUGGGCCUGCACUGACGCUCAUGCACGAAAGCGUGGGGAGCAAACAGGAUUAGAUACCCUAGUAGUCC